rnacentral:misc_RNA from 1 species
UCCGGCUUAACGCCGGCAGUCCCCCCAGAGUCCCCGGCCGAACCGCUGGCAACUGGGAGCGAGGGUUGCGCUCGUUGCGGGACUUAACCCAACAUCUCACAACACGAGCUGACGACAGCCAUGCAGCACCUGUCUCUGCGUUCCUUUCGGCACUCCAACCUCUCAGUCAGAUUCGCAGGAUGUCAAGAGUAGGUAAGGUUCUUCGCGUUGCAUCGAAUUAAACCACAUGCUCCACCGCUUGUGCGGGCCCCCGUCAAUUCCUUUGAGUUUCAACCUUGCGGCCGUACUCCCCAGGCGGAGAACUUAUCGCGUUAGCUUCGAUACGCAUGGGUCGCCCCACACACAUCUAGUUCUCAUCGUUUACAGCGUGGACUAC